GCCACGCAGCUCUGUGUCCCGCCCCUCACGCGAGCCUCACCUCCAUCGCUCGCACAACCUCUAUUAUAGCCUAUGUUCUCCUCCUUGGCCUUUCCCUGCUUUGGACCCGCUCAGUCUUGGCCUCCCGGGGCGGCCAGGGUCCGUGCCCGUGCGCAGACCCCACCCCCACCCCAUGAAGGAACUGGAGGAUGGGUGCAGCUGUCGGAUGGAAACCCCAAAACUCUUGGGCCGAGUCGUGGUGGUCACCACACAGGAACCAUCCCCGCUCCGAACACUGAGAGGACACAGGUUCGAGCCCUGGUCCGGGAAGAUCCCACAUGCCGCGGAGCAACUAAGCCCGUGCACCACAACUACUGAGCCUGCUUUCUAGAGUCCGUGAACCACAACUACUGAGCCCACACGCCACAACUACUGAAGCCCCUGCACCUAGAGCCUCUGCUCGGCAGCAAGAAGCCAGUGCAGUGAGAAGCCUGUGGACCGCAAUGAAUAGACCCCGCUCACAGCAACUAGGGAAAACCCGUGCGCAACAGCCCAAAAAUAAAUAAAUAAAUAAAAUUUAUGUUUAAAAAAAAAAAAAAAGAUUACUGUUUCUUAAAGAAAACCAGGUAUCUCAGGUUGAUGAAUUUAGUGCUUUUCUUUAUAUGGGAAGAUGCAAGAGUCUGGGCUCAUCGAAAUCAUCCCUUUGAUAUGCACCUUACCUAUCUAUGGCCAGUAUCCUUUUCUUUCCCAUCCUGAGUCCCCUGAUGGUGCACCGCUGGGGUUGGCUGCAGUGGCUGAGGGCUUGGGGGGUAAGGGGCAGCCUGUUUGUCUGCAUCCUGAGUUCCCUCAGCGCUCUCCAUAGGAGGCAGUGGUAGCGGCUGAUGACUGCAACAUCCUUUUAUGUUUACUGUUAUAGCAGGCAACAUUUUUCAUUCACAGAACAGUUCCUCAGAGCUACCUGAGAGGCUGUCUCCAGGGCUAUAGUCCUCACUAAGGUCCCUGAAUAAAACAUAACUGGCAACUUUCA